AUCAGCAUAUGGCUUAAUUUAGAAUAAAAUAAGCAUAUUUUGAAUGGAAAUAUUUUAGCAAAAAUAAAGUAAGUGGACUCAUUUCGAGAAGCACCGAGUAAAAGAGCCUGCUGAUUUGUGCCCUAGACAAAGUGACACAGAGUUGCUAACAUUCAUGCUACCAAAGACCACUCUGAAGAAGAUGUUUCCUAGGAUUAGUGGUCCAAAAUGGAGACUGUGAGUGAGCUAACUCUUAAUCUGCAUG
rnacentral:lncRNA from 1 species